UUAAAUCUAAGCCUACUUAAUGCUAUAUCUUCUUCCUUUACAAAAUUGCUUGAGACUAAAAGAUACCACAAAUUAAGGCAUUAGCAGCAAAUUCACGAUUUUCAUAUUUUCACAUAACAUUAUCCGAACACAAAAUAGAAUAGCAAUAUUCCAAGUAAAAUUAGAUAAGAGGAUAAACGAGGCCCCUUUGAAUAUAUCAACAAGUGAACCUCAGAUAUACAGCAACAAAUAAUUUGGAGCCUGCGGACCACGGACGAAGACCUCGGCAAGCUUCGAAUCUCGAACCUCGACACACCUCUAUGCUUGACCGAAACGUUUAGAGAAGUGGCUGGUUUUUAGUUGGAGUUUGGUGCAUUUUCACUUGUUUUGGGGCUGCUUUGAGGCUGCUUCAAGAUGGUUUUAAGGGCUAGUUUAUGGAGAGGUUAAGAAGCUGAUUUUUUACGGUGUUUCCUCGUGUUGUUGGUGCUGGUUUUAGGUGUUUUAGAACUGGGUUUUUGCUGGGAUUUUCAGGUCUGUUUUCCAGCGAAAAUAGCAGCAAUUUGAGCUGUUGUUUUAACGUUUUUGAGGUGUUUUGGAGGCUAUUUUUGGUGGUUUUUGUAGCUAAAAACCUACUGGUUUUUUUACCUCAAAUAGUUAGCUAACAAUGGUGCUCUACAUGGAGUUUUUGCUAGAGAUUUUAGCCAAUGUUCAUGGAGUUUUCAGCUUACUUUCUUGGCAAAAAAAAAAGGAGUUUUAGUGGUGAUGAAGCUGCUGUAUUUUUUGGGAUGGGGGAAAAAGAAGCUAAGUCGAAGAAGAAGUUGCGUCCCUUUAAAAACUUAGAAACUUUUUACCUCAUCCUCUCUAUUCGCAGAUCUGUUCUUAUCCUU
rnacentral:lncRNA from 1 species